rnacentral:tRNA from 1 species
GGCAUGGCGCAAUAGGUAGCGCAACUGACUUGUAAUCAGUAGGUUGCGGGUUCGAUUCCUGCUGCCAG